GCGAAAGUCGGAUCCUCUCAAAACAUACUGACUGGGUUUUUUACUGGAGUUACAACUCAACACUGCAAUGGGAGCUUAGGAAGUCUAUCACUUCUUUUUCGCGACUUAAAAAUUGUGGAAGAAGAAAAGGGAAAGUGACACUGCAGAAAGUUACAAAAUUAAAAGACAAGGAAAAUGCUGUGGACUGUUAGUUCAUGUUUCUUCCUCUUCGGCGGCUUCCUUAUGGACUGCGCAUCUGCUGGUAAACAAUGCAGAGAGGAACGGAGCAUAAAUGGAAUGGCUCUACAGGGAUUCGUCUUCAAAAGAU